rnacentral:lncRNA from 1 species
AAAAAGAGACCUCUUCCAAUUUUUUCCGCCUCUCACCUCUUUCACCAUUCUCAUUUUUUGAAUAAAAUAAUAAUAAAUAAAGGCAAAUCCCACUUUCCAUAUUCUAUAAACCAAAUCCAAACACCUCUUCACACUCUUUGCCUCAUCUCACCGGUACACUAUUUUCUCUCUUCUCUAUCCUUCUCAAACUCUCUUCUAUUCUAUUUUAUUGCACCUACUUACUCUUACUACAAUAUAUUAUCCAUUUAAUAUCCAAACCCUUGGGAUCAAUAAACAAACAAACAAAAUAUUCAUAUUCAUUUUAUAAUGAAAGGUGAAUACACAGAACAACAACAUCAAAAUCCAAACAAAGGAACCGAAACACCACCACCUUCAUUACUAUUCUCAAAACUUCACCAAUCAAAUUCGCAAAACAAUUCAUUAUUUCAUCCUUU